rnacentral:rRNA from 1 species
CGGGGGGCAGCAGUGGGGAAUCUUGCGCAAUGAGCGACAGCUUGACGCAGCAACGCCGCGUGGGGGAAGACGGCCUUCGGGUUGUAAACCCCUUUCAGUUGGGACGAAGCUCGGCCUGUGAACAGCAGGCUGGAGUGACGGUACCUUCAAAAGAAGCCCCGGCUAACUACGUGCCAGCAGCCGCGGUAAUACGUAGGGGGCAAGCGUUGUCCGGAAUCAUUGGGCGUAAAGAGUGUGUAGGCGGCCUUAUAAGUCUGUUGUGAAAGUCCAAGGCUCAACCUUGGAAUGCCGAUGGAUACUGUAAGGCUAGAGUCCGGAAGAGGCGGGUGGAACUCCUGGUGUAGCGGUGAAAUGCGCAGAUAUCAGGAAGAACACCAACGGCGAAGGCAGCCCGCUGGGACGGUACUGACGCUGAGACACGAAAGCGUGGGGAGCAAACAGGAUUAGAUACCCGAGU